GUGAGGUGAGGGUGAGUCAUGAGUGGAAGUGGGAGGUCAAACUAAACUAAGCAAUGUAAUACGGCAGAUGGAUCCUUACUCUUUUGUUAGGUAUAGAUAGUAUAGGGAAGAAAUAAUUUCACUAAAACUAUGCGAGGAGCAUUGAUCAGCUCAUCCGACGGCCACGAAUCCUUGAAGGCUGAAUUGGUUCAUCAUCGGAAGCAGAAGCAGAGAACGAGCGAUCCCCUCCCGGACACGACGCCCCUAUCGCUCGCUGCUUCCGGUGCCGCGUGUCAGCGUGCGCAAAGCUCACCCUCAUCGCCGCCGCCACCGCCGCCGCCGCUCAACCCAUCCCGCCGGCCCCGCCCUGUUCCAUGGCCGCCAAGUGGGCCCAGAAGACCGUCGUCAUCCCUGCCCAGCGCCGCGGCUGCCACCUCAUCACCCCCAAGGUUUUGAGGGAGAUUGAGGGCGAUCUCUCCGGGUUCAAGUGCGGCUUGGCGCAUCUGUUCCUGCAGCACACAAGUGCUUCCCUGACCAUCAAUGAGAACUAUGACUCUGAUGUGCAGGCUGACACCGAAACAUUCCUUAACAAAAUUGUCCCAGAGGGCCGAUCUGCUCCUUGGAAGCAUACUAUGGAAGGACCGGAUGACAUGCCAGCACAUAUUAAAUCAUCAAUGUUUGGCUGUGCUCUGACAAUUCCUAUAACUGAUGGACAUCUCAACCUGGGCACUUGGCAGGGCAUAUGGCUGUGCGAACAUCGUGAUCAUGCCAGCGCCCGUAAAAUCGUGGUCACCCUCAACGGGAUCUAAACGGAGUAUUAGAAACCUGGAGGAAGGAGGAAUGCUGGGCAGCUUUAAGCACCAGCAUGGAAAAUCAGGACCUGAGAGCUUUGAACAUGUCGUGUACGGAUCGUCGGUCUGUAUGUAUGAAUGAGUAGUGCAAAAUUUCAAUAAAUUGGGAGCCAACAUGAGUGUUCAAAAUGUGGGACGCACCCGGUUGUUUGAAUAGAACAUAAGAGUUUUUUGUCCAUGUAGUUGAAGAAAUCUGUCUUUUUUUAUAUGAAUGAAGAAAGAAACAUGCCUUGCAAAUGCGUGACAUAUCAGAUUGCUUUUUCCUUUUCCCCUCGCAGACGGAUCGAACUGAACAAAGUUGUUGAAUUACUAGCCGACUUCCGGCGCUCUGCAACUGACGAAGGGACAACGGACUGCAGGUGCAACGAUGAGGUGGCACCAUCCAUUUGCAAGGCCACCCUCACGAACGGAGAAGCGAGACAAAAAUCGUGGCUCAAGAGUUCACCCCCAAAUCCCGAUUCCACUCCGAGAAGCCAUGGCGGCGGCUGCUCUCUUCACGGGCUCCCCCGGAACCUUCCACUACCGGGGGCGCACCCGGCCUCUCCGUCGCGUCCGCGCCGGCAUGCUCUCCCGCCUCGCACGCGCCCCGUCUCCGCGCUCGCGCUCCUCGAUGCCACCGCGUGUCUUGAAGCGCAUGGCCAUGGGCGGAGUUACGAGGGUGCUCCUCCUGGCUAAAUGGGAGGUAGAUAUCCUCACAUGCUUUUGAUCCUCAUACUCCUUCAUGGAGCCAAUGCCGCUAUAGAUGCUCCGGUACAGAAAUGGCAGACUCUGGAUGGUCGUCCUCCUCUAGUCAUCGCUCGUGGAGGCUUCUCUGGCUUAUUUCCCGAAUCAAGCAGGUUUGCGUAUGAGUUUGCGAUGACAGCUAGCUUGCCUGGAGUCGUUCUGGAGUGUGAUCUGCAAUUGUCCAGUGACGGUGUGGGCUUCUGCAGAAGUGGCUUAACGCUUGAUAAGUCAACACUAAUUGCUGAAGUGUACCCUAAGAAGGACAAAACAUACAAGCUGGGUUUAGAAGAUAUUCAUGGGUGGUUUGCUGUGGAUUUCACCUCAGACGAGCUCAUAAAUAAUGUCACAGUGAUCCAAACUAUUUUUUCUCGCCCAAGCACAUUCGAUGCCAUGAUGGGAAUGUAUACGCUUGAUGAUAUGGCUGGACUCCACCCGCAACAAAUUUGGGUUAAUGUGGAGUUCGAUGGUUUUUAUAGGGAUCACAAUUUAGAUAUCGAAGAUUACAUAUUAAAAUUACCAAAAGAUUAUCCUAUUGCCUACAUAUCCUCGCCAGAUAUUUCAUUCUUGAAAAGUAUUGGUGGAAAGCUUAAGGGCAGGGCUAAGCUAAUUUUGCGGUGUCUCGCUGAGAAUGUUACCGAGACAAGCGUCAAGAAAUCAUACGGAGAAAUAUUGAAAGAUCUGAAAUCUGUCAAGGCUUUUGCAUCAGGAAUUAUGGUCCCCAGGAAUUAUGUUUGGCCAGUGAAUAACAAUCUGUACUUGCUCCCACCUACCAGUUUGGUCAAAGAUGCACAUGCCCUAGGGCUGGAAGUGCAUGUAGGAUCGUUUGCCAAUGAUAUCCUUACGAGUUACAACUACAGCUAUGAUCCUGCCGCGGAAUACUUGCAGUUCAUAAACAACCCAGACUUCACUGUAGAUGGUUUGAUGACUGACUUCCCGCCCACUGCAUCAGGAGCUGUCGCGUGCUUGGCACAUAAUGAAGCAAAUGCUCUUGCUUCAAAUGGAGAGAGGCCAAUCAUUAUAACGCACAAUGGCGCAAGUGGCGUGUACGCAGGCUGCACGGACCUUGCCUACCAACAAGCAGUGAAAGAUGGUGCCGACAUAAUAGAUUGCUCGGUUCGGAUGUCAAAAGACGGUGUGGCCUUUUGCCUGGGCUCUGCAGAUCUCAUUGCCAGCACGACGGCAGCAACCACUUUCAUGACAAAAGUUGUUACUAUCAGUGAAAUACAGAAUAAAUCAGGCAUUUUCUCGUUUGAUCUUUCAUGGAGCGAGAUCCAAACCUUGAAACGUAAAGAACAGAACAAUUACAUUAUUUCUUCAUGUAUUCUUUCUUUGUCAUGCACUAACAUCUUGUUUUUUUGUUCAUCUGAUCAGCCGAGCUUACUGGUCCAUUUGCUCAGGCAGGCCUGAAAAGAAAUCCUGCAGCGAAGAAUGCUGGCAAAUUCUUUACUUUGCCCGAAUUCCUUGACUUUGCCAAAACUAGCAAUGUCUCUGGUAUACUGAUCGAGAUAGAGGUAGCAGAUCCUUUUCACUGAAGUUACACUAUUUGCUCAUGUUAUCCCCGUAAAUCUGUUGAACUGAACAUUCUUGGCUGAGAGCAGGAUGCUCCAUACCUUGCAACCAGAGGUCUUGGCCUGGUAGAUGCAGUCUCCGGUGCACUGGUCAAUGCCAGCUACGACAAGGAGAGCAAGCAGCAAGUGUUCAUCGAAUCAGACGACUCCUCCGUACUUUCAGCGUUCAAGAAGUUCCCAGCGUUUAAGCGGGUUCUCACUGUUGGCACCAUAAUAAGUGAUGCUUCCAAGCCUUCCGUGGACGAGAUCAAGGAGUUUGCGGAUGCAGUGAUGGUGACCCGCGGUUCGCUCGUGAAGGUCAAUGGCUUCUUCCUGACAGGGUUCACUAAUUUGGUGGAGAAUCUGCACGCUGCAAACUUGUCGGUGCACGUCGGUCCGCUCAAGAAUGAGUUCACCAACUUUGGGUUCGACUACUUUGCUGAUCCGAUGGUUGAGAUCGCUACAUACUCUGCUGCAUUGGUCGUCGAUGCGAUUGUGACCGAGUUCCCUGCCACUGCAACUACAUACUUCAGUAAGUACCUGUUUGACGCUAUGCACAUCGAACAGUUUCAGAUUGCAGCUACACGAAAGAGCUUCUCAGCUCAAGCAAUCCCAGCACCAACUUUUGUGAAACCGCAUCGGAGCAUUACUUCCACUAGUUGCCAGAGUAACAGUCCUUGUUUCUUUGUCUGAAUGAAUUGCAGGGAGCCCAUGCAGUGAUCCGACGAAGAACCUGACCUACACAAUCAUGGCUGCAGCACCCGGUGCUCUGGUGAGCAUGGUCCCCCCAGGCGCGCUUCCCCCGGCGCUCCCGCCAGCACCCUUGCUGGAGCCUGCCGAUGUUCUCGACCCGCCGCUGCCACCUGUGUCGGUGAGCAGCCCUCCGGAGGCGGCACCGAAAGUAGCUGACAGCAGCUCCUCUCCACCCAGCUCCAGUGCCGGCAGUUGCUUCCUGGUAGCAGCUGGCAUUGCUGCCUUCUUGUACUCGGGCUGCCAUUGAUCAUAUCUUGCUGACUGGCAUUGUACUACCACAUGAUUAUCCUCUAUGUUUCCUCCUCCUCACACCCUGAAUUGUUCUGUAACAUAUUGCUGUUUAAAGUAGAUACUUCCUGACCAGCCUGCACAUAAUUACACACCUUCAGAAAGUUUCAUCCCAUGCAUGUUUGAAUCUGAACUCUCAAAUGUUUAGGGAACUGCACUCCUACUCCCUCUCUUCGAGGGAAGGCACUGGAAUUUACCAUCUUCUGAAGUAAAAACAGCAAACAAAACAGUACAGUUCAAAUUAAAUAAACUAAAUAAUCAAUUUAGUUUUUUUUGAACGAAUCUAUCUCAUCAUAUCUUUCCCUACUAAUAAAGCACGGAGUGCUUCUGGUCGUCCGUCGUCGCUGGCGUUUUGCGAAAAAGCCCCUCGGUUUCCGCAAAAUCAACCCGCAGUACAUAUUAAGUGGAUCUGGCAAACUAUUCGUGGAUCUCGCGACGGACGAAUCGAGACGGAGAGGCCAUGGUGGACGGGAACGGAGGUGGAGCCGCGGGACAAAGGAGGCUCAGGGUUGACCUCAAAAGAGAGGCCGGAGGGGAGCAACACUGGCCCCGCUGGGCCAGUAGCGCUCGUGGUGGUGUGGUGGGGUGGCAUUGUGUCACUCGUCGACCGGUGGCUUGGAGUUGGAGGUGUCGGACCGAGGCGACGGUGACGCGCGAGGCAAGGGAGCGAUGGCUAUGGCGCCUACAUGGCAAGCAGCAGGGGGCGAAGGGGGAGCGCUAGGUGGCGCAAGGCACAACAAAAGAUGAGGAAGCGGCGGACGGCAGCGACUUGUGCUCGCCGGCAACGGGCCCAACCAAGUCCCCGCGCGUGCUGGCCGGCCGCCAGAUCCGGCGAGCGAUGGGGGCUGCUGCGAGCAACGGAGCCACCAGCCACCCAUCGGGAGGAGGGGCUCCACCAACACGGCACGGGGACGCCGCCCCGGCUCGGCUCCCUAUGUGCCGAAGAGAAGACCGCCGCCGCCCCGGCCGAUGCUCUGCCAGAACCUCCCGCGCGGAGGGAAAGGACGGGGUGAUCCUGCCGCUGCUCUCGAGCUUGGUGGGGGAGGGGGAGGAGGGGGCGGGGCGAAAUCCCGGCGACGGUGUGUGGGCUCAAGCGGCAACGACGGUACAUCCAGUGAGAGCUCGGUGUCUGGAUGGGGGCGAGGUCGGGAUGUUUCAUCGAGAGCCUCGCAGAAGAGAAAAGAAAACAGAGGAGAUAAGGCUGCGAGCGAGCGAGCGAAAAAAGAAAAGGCUGCGAGCGAGCGACCGAAAGAAAAGGCUGGAAGCGAGCGCCAGCGAGGCGGCUGGUUUCUUCUAG
rnacentral:rRNA from 1 species